rnacentral:misc_RNA from 1 species
UGCGCGUAAGCCUCCGACGAUAUUUCUGAUCGCGGCUGAGGAAUCCGGCGACCGGCUCGGUUCAGGCUUGAUCAAGGCCUUGCGCGAGCGGUUAGGGCCGGCAGCGAACAUCGUCGGGGGUGGCGGUGGUCACAUGGGCCAGGGGAUGAUGUCUGUCGUCCCGAUCGACGAACUCGCGAUCAUUGGUUUUAUGGCCAUCCCGAAGCGGUUGCCGGUGAUCCUUCGCCGCAUUCGUGAGGCGACGGACGAAGUCCUAAAACAGCGGCCUGACGUUCUGGUUAUCAUCGACAGCCCG